CAGCCGCCGCGGGAAUACGAAGGGGGCUAGCGUUGUUCGGAAUUACUGGGCGUAAAGCGCACGUAGGCGGACGCUUAAGUCAGGGGUGAAAUGCCGAGGCUCAACCUCGGAACUGCCUUUGAUACUGGGUGUCUUGAGUCCGGAAGAGGUGAGUGGAACUGCGAGUGUAGAGGUGAAAUUCGUAGAUAUUCGCAAGAACACCAGUGGCGAAGACGGCUCACUGGUCCGGAACUGACGCUGAGGUGCGAAAGCGUGGGGAGCGAACAGGAUUAGAUACCCCCGUAGUCCCUGUCUCUUAUAC
rnacentral:rRNA from 1 species